AGAGCGUAGGGAGAAUGACUUGGCAUCAGGAGCCGACGAAGGACGUGACAAGCUGCGAUAAGCUGCGGUUAGGAGCAAAUAUCCAUAGACCCGCAGAUUUCCGAAUGGGGAAACCCGGUAAGGCAAUACCUUAUCACCGUUAAGUGAAUACAUAGCUUAGCGGAGGAAACCCUCUGAACUGAAACAUCUAAGUAGGAGGAGGAAGAGAAAGAAAAAUCGAUUUUCUGAGUAGCGGCGAGCGAAAGGGAAAGAGGCCAAACCUAUUGUAGCAAUACAGUAGGGGUUGCGGACUGCAAACGCUAUUAAAAUCUUUAGCAGAAGACUUUGGGAAGAGUCGCCAUAGUAGGUAACAGCCCUGUAAGCGAAAAGGAUUUUGAAGUAGCAGUAUCCAGAGUACCAUCGGACACGAGGAACCCGGUGGGAAGCCGGAGGGACCACCCUCCAAGCCUAAAUACUACCUGAUGACCGAUAGCGAAUAGUACAGUGAUGGAACGUUGAAAAGAACCCCGGGAGGGGAGUGAAAUAGAACCUGAAACCCUAUGUUUACAAGCUGACAAAGCACCUUAAGAGUGCGAUGUCGUACUUUUUGUAGAACGGUCCAGCGAGUGUAUGUUGCAAGCGAGGUUAAGGUAUUCAGUACCGAAGCCGAAGGGAGACCGAGUGUGAAUAGCGCGUAAAGUUUGCAGUAUACGACCCGAAACCGGGUGACCUAACCAUGGACAGGCUGAAGUGGAAGUAAAAUUCCAUGGAGGGCCGAACCCACUGCUGUUGAAAAAGUAGGGGAUGAGCUGUGGUUAGCGGUGAAAUUCCAAUCGAACUCGGAUAUAGCUGGUUCUCAUCGAAAUAGCUUUAGGGCUAGCCUCGGAUUAGUUUAGCGGAGGUAGAGCACUGAAUGGGCUAGGGGGCUUCACGGCUUACUGAACCCUAUCAAACUCCGAAUGCCGCAUAAAUGAUGUCCGGGAGUCAGACUGCGUGAGAUAAGUUUCGUGGUCAAAAGGGAAAGAGCCCAGACCUACAGCUAAGGUCCCUAAAUGGUUUUAAGUGGAAAAGGAUGUGCAGUUGCGUAGACAACUAGGAUGUUGGCUUAGAAGCAGCCACUCAUUCAAAGAGUGCGUAAUAGCUCACUAGUCGAGUGAUUGUGCGCCGAAAAUGUAACGGGGCUAAAAACCAUACCGAAGCUUGGGAGGAGUACGAAAGUACUGUUGGUAGAUGAGCGUUGUGUUACCCUGAGAAGCUACAGCGGAAGCAGUGGUGGAGGAAGCACAAGUGAGAAUGCUGGAAUGAGUAGCGAGAAUUAUGUGAGAAUCAUAAUGGUCGAAAAUCUAAGGUUUCCUGGGGAAGGUUCGUCCGCCCAGGGUUAGCCGGGAGCUAAGGCGAGGCCGAGAGGCGUAGUCGAUGCACAUACGGUGAAAAUUCCGUAGCCGCCGAAAUUGUUAAGUACAAGGACACAGGAGCAUAACCUGACCCUGCCGUUGGUUGAGCAGGGCGAAAGGGAGCGAAAUCAAGUAGCGAAGCAGGUGAUUGCACACUGGCGAGAAAAGUUGUAUGUAUUAAUUAGGUGCCCGUACCGCAAACCGACACAGGUAGAUGAGGAGAGAAUCCUAAGACCAUCGGGAGAAAUGUUGUUAAGGAACUCGGCAAAAUGACCCCGUAACUUCGGGAUAAGGGGAGCCUGGAAACAGGCCGCAGAGAAUAGUCCCAAGCGACUGUUUAGCAAAAACACAGGUCUAUGCUAAGUCGAAAGACGAUGUAUAUGGGCUGACGCCUGCCCGGUGCUGGAAGGUUAAGGGGAUCUGUUAGGAGCAAUCCGAAGCAGAGAACUUAAGCCCCAGUAAACGGCGGCCGUAACUAUAACGGUCCUAAGGUAGCGAAAUUCCUUGUCAGGUAAGUUCUGACCCGCACGAAUGGCGUAACGAUUUGGGAGCUGUCUCGACAACAUACCCGGCGAAAUUGAAGUACUGGUAAAGAUGCCAGUUACCCGUGAUUAGACGGAAAGACCCCAUGGAGCUUUACUGUAACUUGAUAUUGAAUUUUUGUAUUUCAUGUACAGGAUAGGUGGGAGACAUAGAAGCAUGCACGCCAGUGUGUGCGGAGUCGCUGUUGGGAUACCACCCUUGGAAUAUGAAGGUUCUAACCUGCGCUCGUGAAUCCGGGCGGGGGACACUGUCAGGUGGACAGUUUGACUGGGGCGGUCGCCUCCAAAAAGGUAACGGAGGCGUUCAAAGGUUAUCUCAGCACGGACGGAAAUCGUGCAAAGAGUGCAAACGCAUAAGAUAGCCUAACUGCGAGAGGUACAUCUCGAGCAGUAACGAAAGUUGGAGUUAGUGAUCCGGCGGUAUGAGAGUGGAAUUGCCGUCGCUCAACGGAUAAAAGCUACCCUGGGGAUAACAGGCUGAUCUCCCCCAAGAGUCCACAUCGACGGGGAGGUUUGGCACCUCGAUGUCGGCUCAUCACAUCCUGGGGCUGUAUUCGGUCCCAAGGGUUCGGCUGUUCGCCGAUUAAAGUGGUACGCGAGCUGGGUUCAGAACGUCGUGAGACAGUUCGGUCCCUAUCUGUCGUGGGCGCAGGAUAUUUGAGGAGAGCUGUCCUUAGUA
rnacentral:rRNA from 1 species